UACGUAGGGUGCGAGCGUUAUUCGGAAUUACUGGGCGUAAAGCGUGCGCAGGCGGUGAUGUAAGACAGGCGUGAAAUCCCCGGGCUUAACCUGGGAACUGCAUUUGUGACUGCAUCGCUGGAGUGCGGCAGAGGGGGAUGGAAUUCCGCGUGUAGCAGUGAAAUGCGUAGAUAUGCGGAGGAACACCGAUGGCGAAGGCAAUCCCCUGGGCCUGCACUGACGCUCAUGCACGAAAGCGUGGGGAGCAAACAGG
rnacentral:rRNA from 1 species